rnacentral:rRNA from 1 species
AAUGAACGCUGGUGGCAGGCCUAACACAUGCAAGUCGAACGAGUUUCGGACUGUUGAGUAAUGUCUGGGAAACUGCCUGAUGGAGGUGGAUAACUCCUGGCAACGGUCGCUAAUACCGCAUACCACCGUCUUGGCCCCGAUGGGAUUAGCUAGUAGGUGGGGUAAAGGCUCACCUGGGCGACGAUCCCUCUCUGGUCUUGUAGGAUGACCAGCCACACUGGAACUGAGACACGGUCCAGACUCCUACGUGAGGCAGCAGUGGGGAUUACUGCACAAUGGGCGCAAGCCUGAUGCAGCCAUGCCGCGUGUAUGAAGAAGGCCUUCGGGUUGUAAAGUACUUUCAGCGGGGAGGCGGGACACGAAGAAGAAGCACCGGCUAACUCCGUGCCAGCAGACGCGGUAAGGC